UACGGGGGGGGCAAGCGUUGUUCGGAAUUACUGGGCGUAAAGGGCUCGUAGGCGGCCAACUAAGUCAGACGUGAAAUCCCCGGGCUCAACCUGGGAACUGCAUUUGUGACUGCACGGCUGGAGUGCGGCAGAGGGGGAUGGAAUUCCGCGUGUAGCAGUGAAAUGCGUAGAUAUGCGGAGGAACACCGAUGGCGAAGGCAAUCCCCUGGGCCUGCACUGACGCUCAUGCACGAAAGCGUGGGGAGCAAACAGG
rnacentral:rRNA from 1 species